rnacentral:rRNA from 1 species
UACGAAGGGGGCUAGCGUUGCUCGGAAUCACUGGGCGUAAAGGGCGCGUAGGCGGACUUUUAAGUCGGAGGUGAAAGCCCAGGGCUCAACCCUGGAAUUGCCUUCGAUACUGGGAGUCUUGAGUUCGGAAGAGGUUGGUGGAACUGCGAGUGGUAGAGGUGAAAUUCGUAGAUAUUCGCAAGAACACCGGUGGCGAAGGCGGCCAACUGGUCCGAAACUGACGCUGAGGCGCGAAAGCGUGGGGAGCAAACAGG